AACGAACGCUGGCGGCAUGCCUAACACAUGCAAGUCGAACGGGAUCCUAGCUUGCUAGGUGAGAGUGGCGGACGGGUGAGUAACACGUGGGAUCUGCCUUUUGGUUCGGGAUAACCGCGGGAAACUGCGGCUAAUACCGAAUGCCCUCGAGAGAGGAAAGAUUUAUCGCCAGAAGAGGAGCCCGCGUCCGAUUAGGUAGUUGGUGGGGUAAAGGCCUACCAAGCCGACGAUCGGUAGCUGGUCUGAGAGGAUGAUCAGCCACACUGGGACUGAGAUACGGCCCAGACUCCUACGGGAGGCAGCAGUGGGGAAUAUUGGACAAUGGGGGCAACCCUGAUCCAGCAAUGCC
rnacentral:rRNA from 1 species